GGAUAUGAGGACAAUCUGGUUGCAAAAUCUGUCACCCCAUUUUUCGCCAGGGUUGAUUCAGUUGAUCUGGCUGGAUAGGCUGGUGACUCCUUCCUCCCUCACUACUCCAUAUGCUCCCUCCCAAAGCUGUGUGCUCUGCUGAAUAGGAUAUCUAUCCUUCCCCAAAUAGAGAGGGACUGGUCUUCAGUUGAGGGUAUAUGAGUAGCUGUGCGCCCCUGCUAAAACCUCCAAACAGACUCUCAAGGUCCAUUUACUCAACAAAUUAGGGUCUAGCAUGUGGCAAACCCACAUGACACACUAGCUAUCAAGCAUAAUGACGUGGGUCCAAGU
rfam:Erinaceus europaeus unplaced genomic scaffold scaffold00058, whole genome shotgun sequence